UUUUGACAUUAUUUUGUUUUUCCUAUUUCUUUUUCAGGAGACUGGUUGUACAAAGCAGAAAAAUACAAGAUUCUUGGUUGAAACAAUGAGAUGGACCUUGUCGAGAUGGUAGAUUGGAGCAGACUUCUCUUAGAUGUGUUUAAGUGUCAUGAUUGGCAAGGGAAAUUGCAUUUGGUGGAAACUGGAGAGGAUAUAUUAUGUAUGACUAAGAUUUGAACAGUGUACAUGCCUUUCGUAGAAAUAGAGUUUUUGUUUCCAGAAAACAUUUUGAACUUGUAAUUAUAAAGACUGAAUGUGUGCUGAAAAUGCAAUCCUAAUACGACUAACUACUGAUCCUAAUACGACUAAGCUAUUGAAUGAUGUCCUAACGCCAGAUGUUCUACUAGUACUUAGCUGCUGCAUCAUUACCUAAUAUAUAGCUUCUUUAAUGUAUCUUCUAUUUUUAAGAUUGAAAUUCGAUGUUCGAAUUUCUAUCUGAAUUUGAAGAGAAGUAGUUUUUGGUUUUGGUU